AAGGGAGACCUAAUUCAGGUAUGGGACGAAAAAAAAGUAGUCGCUACCAAGAAUCAAUCCCAAAAGGUCGGAGCGAGGUAUGAGGCUUUCAAACUAGGUUCUGGGUUCAAACAAGACCUGAAUCAGGAACAAGGGCUAUUAGCUCAGGUGGUUAGAGCGCACCCCUGAUAAGGGUGAGGUCCCUGGUUCGAGUCCAGGAUGGCCCACCUGCACAGGUGGCAAAAACAAGAGAAGCUCCGAAUCAGCACCUUAUCUUAUCUAUAUAUAAGAGAGAAUGCUGGCUCUGAGUAAAGAGUCCAGAGGAACCUUGAAAACUGCAUAGAGCUAGGUGAAAAAGCCAAAAAAGAAGACCGCAA
rnacentral:tRNA from 2 species